GAUGAAGAACGUAGCGAAAUGCGAUAAGUAAUGCGAAUUGCAGAAUUCCAGUGAGUCAUCGAAUCUUUGAACGCACAUUGCGCCCUUUGGUAUUCCGAAGGGCAUGCCUGUUCGAGCGUCAUUAUCACCCCUCAAGCCCUCGGCUUGGUGUUGGACGGUUUGGUGGAGGCCCCCUCGGGGGCUCCUGCCCCUCCCAAAGACAAUGACGGCGGCCUCGUUGGACCCCCGGUACACUGAGUUCUUCACGGGACACGUAUCGGACACGUGGGUUUACGGGACACGGUCUGCCUCCCCUCAGGGAGAAUCUUUCUAAGGUUGACCUCGGAUCAGGUAGGGAUACCCGCUGAACUUAAGCAUAUCAAUAAGCGGAGGA
rnacentral:misc_RNA from 1 species